rnacentral:snRNA from 1 species
AUCGCUUCUCGGCCUAUUGGCUAAGAUCAAAGUGUAGUAUCUGUUCUUAUCAGCUUGAUAUCUGAUACGCUCCUCAUUGAGGAGCCAGAAUAUCGAACUGAUUUUUGGAAUAUGGCGGAGUGUCUGGGGCUUGCUCCGNCGAGGCAGCUCGCUCGUCGGUUCGCUCGGCUCGGUCCGCUGUCCCGCACGGUCCCCGU